rnacentral:rRNA from 1 species
GACAGAGGGUGCAAACGUUGUUCGGAAUUACUGGGCGUAAAGCGCGUGUAGGCGGCCCUGCAAGUCGGAUGUGAAAUCCCACGGCUCAACCGUGGAAGUGCAUUCGAAACUGCAGGGCUAGAGUCCUGGAGAGGAAGGUGGAAUGCUUGGUGUAGAGGUGAAAUUCGUAGAUAUCAAGCGGAACACCGGUGGCGAAGGCGGCCUUCUGGGACAGUGACUGACGCUGAGACGCGAAAGCGUGGGGAGCAAACAGGGGUUAGAAAACCCCCUGGU